rnacentral:tRNA from 2 species
GCGAUCGUGGCGGAAUGGCAGACGCGCUAGCUUGAGGGGCUAGUGUCCUUAAGGAUGUGUGGGUUCAAAUCCCAUCGAUCGCAUCA